rnacentral:tRNA from 1 species
CGUUCUAUGGCCGAAUUGGUAAAGGCGUCGCCGAUCACAUGUGAGGGUGCGGGUUCGAGUCCCGCUGGAACGA